AAAUGGAAAACAAAUAAGUUGUACUUAGUUUCGACCUAAGAUUAUGGUGCUGGCCCACCUCCAUUUA
rnacentral:tRNA from 1 species